UGCGUGAAGGAUUGUUUUCUAGGUGAGA
rnacentral:piRNA from 1 species